rnacentral:rRNA from 1 species
AGAAUCAACGCUGGCGGCGCGCUUAACACAUGCAAGUCGAGCGAGAAAGUGGAGCAAUCCAUGAGUAAAGCGGCGUACGGGUGAGUAACACGUGGAUCAUCUACCUCUUUGUGGGGGAUAACUUUGGGAAACCGAAGCUAAUACCGCAUAAGCCUGUAAAGGGAAAGCAGCAAUGCGCUGAGAGAGGAGUCCGCGGCCGAUUAGCUAGUUGGUGAGGUAACGGCCCACCAAGGCGAUGAUCGGUAGCCGGCCUGAGAGGGCACACGGCCACACUGGCACUGAAACACGGGCCAGACUCCUACGGGAGGCAGCAGUGGGGAAUCUUGCACAAUGGGGGCAACCCUGAUGCAGCGACGCCGCGUGAACGAUGAAGCCCCUCGGGGUGUAAAGUUCUUUCGGCAGGGACGAUAAUGACGGUACCUGAAGAAGAAGCUGCGGCUAACUACGCGCCGAGCAGCCGCGGUAA